rnacentral:tmRNA from 1 species
GGGGCUGACUGGUUUUGACAGCGGGCAGAGUCUUGUAGUAAGCAUGCAGAGCGUUGUGUGUGGGCUCUUAAAUCGGAACACUCGAAUUAUAAAUGGCAAUAAUAGCUAUCAGCUCGCUGCGUAGUUUUACAGAGUAAAACGGCUUAAUUCGACGGCUCAAGGAAGUUGUCGGACGAGUAUCCUGCGGGCGGCCUUGCCUUUUGGCUGUCGGCGUAUAGGGUAUCAUCUUAAAAGGAUAGCCGGUGCGAUGCCUGUAACCAUCGGUGAAAUUUUACGGGCUAAGAGGUGGCGCUGGCCUGUUUCCGGCCUUAGCUGCUUCCGACAAUCAAACGGAAACUAAGCAUGUAGAAAGCUGCCGGGUUCCCUGUUUGGACGAGAGUUCGAUUCUCUCCAGCUCCACA